UACGGGGGGAGCAAGCGUUGUUCGGAUUUACUGGGCGUAAAGGGCGCGUAGGCGGCCAUCGCAAGUCAGUUGUGAAAUCUCUGGGCUUAACCCAGAAAGGUCAACUGAUACUGCGGGGCUAGAGUGCAGAAGGGGCAACUGGAAUUCUCGGUGUAGCGGUGAAAUGCGUAGAUAUCGAGAGGAACACCUGCGGCGAAGGCGGGUUGCUGGGCUGACACUGACGCUGAUGCGCGAAAGCUAGGGGAGCGAACGGG
rnacentral:rRNA from 1 species